rnacentral:rRNA from 1 species
UACUCGCAGAAGAAGCACCGGCUAACUCCGUGCCAGCAGCCGCGGUAAUACGGAGGGUGCAAGCGUUAAUCGGAAUUACUGGGCGUAAAGCGCACGCAGGCGGUCUGUUAAGUCAGAUGUGAAAUCCCCGGGCUCAACCUGGGAACUGCAUUUGAAACUGGCAGGCUUGAGUCUCGUAGAGGGGGGUAGAAUUCCAGGUGUAGCGGUGAAAUGCGUAGAGAUCUGGAGGAAUACCGGUGGCGAAGGCGGCCCCCU